GUAAAUAAAGAUUAUGAAAGCAAAAAAUUAUGGCGGUAUUUUAAGCUUUUCAGAGGAAUUUGCUCUUUAAUGGAUAAAACACCUAAAUCUUACUUAAAUUUGUUAAUUCAAUUUGUAUACCACUAUAAAAACAAUUUAUAACUUUAAUUGUUGAUAUUUAUUAAAUUAAAAUAUAUUAAGUCAAGGUGCAGUAAAAAUUUAAGGAUGAAGUGAAUUACAUUACUUUUUAGAGAAAUAAAUUUAAAAUAAUAUUUAGGAUUUGAAAGUAAAAUUAAAAUAUAAUGUUAAUUUGA
rnacentral:rRNA from 1 species